AUUGAACGCUGGCGGCAGGCCUAACACAUGCAAGUCGAGCGGUAGAGAGAAGCUUGCUUCUCUUGAGAGCGGCGGACGGGUGAGUAAUACCUAGGAAUCUGCCUGAUAGUGGGGGAUAACGUUCGGAAACGGACGCUAAUACCGCAUACGUCCUACGGGAGAAAGCAGGGGACCUUCGGGCCUUGCGCUAUCAGAUGAGCCUAGGUCGGAUUAGCUAGUUGGUGAGGUAAUGGCUCACCAAGGCUACGAUCCGUAACUGGUCUGAGAGGAUGAUCAGUCACACUGGAACUGAGACACGGUCCAGACUCCUACGGGAGGCAGCAGUGGGGAAUAUUGGACAAUGGGCGAAAGCCUGAUCCAGCCAUGCCGCGUGUGUGAAGAAGGUCUUCGGAUUGUAAAGCACUUUAAGUUGGGAGGAAGGGCAGUUACCUAAUACGUGACUGUCUUGACGUUACCGACAGAAUAAG
rnacentral:rRNA from 1 species